rnacentral:sRNA from 1 species
GACGAAGCCAUGGCCCUGGAGGCGGCGGGAGGGCCGCCGGAGGAAACGCUGUCACUGUGGAAACGGGAGCAAGCUCGGCUGAAGGCCCACGUCGUAGACCGGGACACCGAGGCGUGGCAGCGAGACCCCGCCUUCUCGGGUCUGCAGAGGGUCGGGGGCGUUGACGUGUCCUUCGUGAAAGGGGACAGUGUCCGCGCUUGUGCUUCCCUGGUGGUGCUCAGCUUCCCUGAGCUCGAGGUCCUUCUUGUGGAUGGAAACGGGGUACUCCACCACCGAGGCUUUGGGGUGGCCUGCCACCUUGGCGUCCUUACAGACCUGCCGUGUGUUGGGGUGGCCAAGAAACUUCUGCAGGUGGAUGGGCUGGAGAACAACGCCCUGCACAAGGAGAAGGCCCUGAGGAGCCACGACCGCAGCACCAGGCCCCUCUACAUCUCCGUGGGCCACAGGAUGAGCCUGGAGGCCGCUGUGCGCCUGACUUGCUGCUGCUGCAGGUUCCGGAUCCCAGAGCCUGUGCGCCAGGGCCGCGGCUCCUGAGCCUGAAGAACUGGCUGUGACC